rnacentral:rRNA from 1 species
GAUGAACGCUGGCGGCGUGCCUAAUACAUGCAAGUCGAGCGAACGGACGAGAAGCUUGCUUCUCUGAUGUUAGCGGCGGACGGGUGAGUAACACGUGGAUAACCUACCUAUAAGACUGGGAUAACUUCGGGAAACCGGAGCUAAUACCGGAUAAUAUUUUGAACCGCAUGGUUCAAAAGUGAAAGACGGUCUUGCUGUCACUUAUAGAUGGAUCCGCGCUGCAUUAGCUAGUUGGUAAGGUAACGGCUUACCAAGGCAACGAUGCAUAGCCGACCUGAGAGGGUGAUCGGCCACACUGGAACUGAGACACGGUCCAGACUCCUACGGGAGGCAGCAGUAGGGAAUCUUCCGCAAUGGGCGAAAGCCUGACGGAGCAACGCCGCGUGAGUGAUGAAGGUCUUCGGAUCUAAAAACUCUGUUAUUAGGGAAGAACAUAUGUGUAAGUAACUGUGCACAUCUUGACGGUACCUAAUCAGAAAGCCACGGCUAACUACGUG